AGCAGCCGCGGUAAUUCCAGCUCCAAUAGCGUAUAUUAAAGUUGUUGCAGUUAAAAAGCUCGUAGUUGAAUUUCGGGACCAUCAUAUCGGUCGUGCCUCGGUACGUACUGGUAUUGUUGGUUUCUCCCUUCUGACGAACCGUGAUGUCAUUUAUUUGGUGUUGUGGGGAACCAGGACUGUUACUUUGAAAAAAUUGAGUGUUUAAAGCAGGCUCACGCUUGAAUACAUUAGCAUGGAAUAAUGAAAUAGGACGUUUGAUUCUAUUUUGUUGGUUUCUAGGAUCGACGUAAUGAUUAAUAGGGAUAGUUGGGGGCAUUAGUAUUCAAUUGUCAGAGGUGAAAUUCUUGGAUUUAUUGAAGACUAACUACUGCGAAAGCAUUUGCCAAGGAUGUUUUCAUUAAUCAAGAACGAAAGUUAGGGGAUCGAAGACGAUCAGAUACCGUCGUAGUCUUAACCAUAAACUAUGCCGACUAGGGAUCGGAUGAUGUUAAUUUUUAAUGACUCAUUCGGCGCCUUACGG
rnacentral:rRNA from 1 species